rnacentral:tmRNA from 1 species
UAACUGCGAACGACGAACGUUUCGCCCUCGCCGCUUAAUUGCCGGUGAGCCUUGCAACAGUUGGCCGAUGGGCUGGGUUAGGGUCGCAAGGUCCUAGCUGCAAGGGUACUUACAUUGGCUGGCUUUCGUCCGGGUGCCUUGGGCGGGAGCGAGACCCAAGGGCACUGGCUGUUCCGGUAGCGUGCGACUGCGCGAUCGGGGCGGCGAGAUCCAAAACAGAUCGCUAAACAUGUAGAACUGCUCGGAGAAGGCUUGCGGACGCGGGUUCAAUUCCCGCC